rnacentral:rRNA from 1 species
UACGGGAGGGGCAAGCGUUAUCCGGCUUAACUAGGCGUAAAGUGUUUGUAGAUGGUAAAAUAAGUUAUUAGUUAAAAAAUAGAGCCCAACUUUAGAAAAGCUUUUAAUAUUGUUUUACUUGAGUUUUAUAUGGAAGAGUAGAAUUUUACAUGAAAGGGUGAAAUCUGCAGAUAUGUAAAGGAAUACCAAUAGCGAAGGCAACUCUUUAAUAAAAACUGACAUUGAGAAACGAAAGUAUGGGUAGCAAACAGG